GCCUGGCUAGCUCAAUCGGUAGAGCGUGAGACUCUUACUCUCAAGCAAUCUCAAGGCUGUGGGUUCAAGCCCCACGUCGGGCU
rnacentral:tRNA from 2 species